rnacentral:snRNA from 1 species
AUCUCUUCUCAGCCUUUUGGACAAGAUCAAGUGCAGUAUCUGUUCUUAUCAGUUUAAUAUUUGAUACAUCCUCUAUCUGGCUUAUUGAAUCUUAAUGUCCUUUCUAUUGUUUAGAGUGGGAUAAUUUUC